GGGCGGUUAGCUCAGCUGGCAGAGCGCUUCGUUUACACCGAAGAUGUCGGCGGUUCGAUCCCGUCACCGCCCACCA
rnacentral:tRNA from 1 species